rnacentral:tRNA from 1 species
GCCUCGUUAGCGCAGUAGGCAGCGCGUCAGUCAAAUACUCAAAUCUACAAAUCUGAAGGUCGUGAGUUCGAUCCUCACACAGGGCA